CCGGCCUUGCCCCAGGGUGAGCCCCGGGCGCGGCUGCAGGCGCGGCCACCGGGUAUCGUCGGGGCCCUGGCGAGCUGAGUCCCUGGUUUCCGGCCCGGGGUGCUCCCCUCCGUCCGUCCUAAACCCCGUCCGGUCGCAAGGGGUGUUCCUCGGAUCCCAGAGACCCAGGCUCAGAGCCUGACAGCCCUGGGAGAGGUGGACUGGCUCACCAAGCCCACUCAGUCUCUCCAAGUGCCCAGGUUCAAAGGCUUCACCCAGCAAUGCGCUGCCGCAGACUGGCCCUGGGCCUAGGAUUCUGCCUGCUGUUGGGCAUGGCCCUCUGCUUUCUGUGGAUGUAUGUGGAGAACUGGCUGCCCUUCUCCUAUGUCCCGUAUUACCUCCCCUGCCCAGAGAUCUUCAACAUGAAACUGCAGUAUAAGGGGGAGAAGCCGUUCCAGCCGGUGACAUGGUCACUGUACCCUCAGCCCAAGCUGCUGGAGCAGAGGCCUACUGAGCUGCUGACGCUUACACCCUGGUUGGCGCCCAUCGUCUCUGAGGGAACCUUCAACCCUGAGCUUCUGCAACACAUCUACCAGCCGCUGAACCUGACCAUCGGGGUUACGGUGUUUGCCGUGGGGAAGUACACCCAGUUCAUCCAGCACUUCCUGGAGUCGGCCGAGCGGUUCUUCAUGCAGGGUUAUCGGGUGCGGUACUAUGUCUUCACUAAUGACCCUGCGGCCGUUCCUCGGGUCCCGCUGGGCCCCGGCCGCAGCCUCAGCACCAUCCCCAUCCAGAAGCACUCCCGCUGGGAGGAGAUCUCCACGCGCCGGAUGGAGACCAUCAGCUGGCACAUCGCUGAGACUGCGCACCGGGAGGUGGAUUACCUCUUCUGCCUCGAUGUGGACAUGGUGUUCCGGAACCCGUGGGGCCCCGAGACCUUGGGGGACCUGGUGGCUGCCAUUCACCCAGGCUACUAUGCUGUACCUCGCCAGCAGUUCCCCUAUGAGCGCAGGCGUGUUUCCACCGCCUUCGUGGCAGACAGCGAGGGGGACUUCUAUUAUGGUGGGGCCGUCUUUGGGGGGCGGGUGGCCAGGGUGUACGAGUUUACCAGGGGCUGCCACAUGGCCAUCCUGGCAGACAAGGCCAAUGGCAUCAUGGCAGCCUGGCAGGAGGAGAGCCACCUGAACCGUCGCUUCCUCUCGCACAAGCCCUCCAAAGUGCUGUCCCCUGAGUACCUCUGGGAUGACAGGAAGCCCCAGCCGCCCCGCCUGAAGCUGAUCCGCUUCUCAACGCUGGACAAGGCCACUGGCUGGCUGAGGAGCUGAUGGUGGAGCCAGGGCUGCCGUGGAUGGGGUUCCCCAGCCCCGCAGCCAGCUCGCCCCAGUGCCUCCCUUCUCGGGCCUCAGGUGGAACCAGUCCAGCCCUGCUUACCUCAGGCUGUUAGCAGAAUUCAACCGGAAAAUGGAGGCCGCAAAGCCUUUGUAAACUGUAAAGGGCUGCGCCCACAUGAGGAGAACACAAAGAUCACACAGCCUUAGAACAGUCAGCCAGGAAGAGGGGAGGCAGAGGUGAAGCAGACAGGGCCUGGCAGGCGCUCCCCAGCAGACGUGCCUUCGGGGCAGGCUCUGGAGUCAGCCCUCCUCCACACCUGAGACCCCACCUCUGCCCCCCUUCUGUUGCCUAUUGCCCUUAAAGUUGUACUUCGAAGCCCCUGGUGUGAAAGGCAGCCCAGAACCCUCUUCUCUGGCUGCCGGGGGUCCUGGGUACUCUGAUGUCCCCCAGCCAUACAGAGCCAACCCCCCGGCUCGGCCCUGGAGGGAACCUUGGCAGUGGAACAGGCCUGGCUCUCUCUGUGUCAAGCCUAGCCCGUACCCCACGGUGGGCCACACUCCCUGCCACCAGCCACCUCCUUUGUAAGAGGGCUUGGGCAGCUUUUAACAAAGGUGGCGUGGGGGGCGUCUGGGUGGCUCGGUCAGUUGAGCGG